rnacentral:rRNA from 1 species
CAGUAGCCGCGGUAAAACGUAGGGUGCAAGCGUUAAUCGGAAUUACUGGGCGUAAAGCGUGCGCAGGCGGUUUGUUAAGACGGAUGUGAAAUCCCCGGGCUCAACCUGGGAACUGCAUUUGUGACUGGCAAGCUAGAGUAUGGCAGAGGGGGGUGGAAUUCCGCGUGUAGCAGUGAAAUGCGUAGAUAUGCGGAGGAACACCGAUGGCGAAGGCAGCCCCCUGGGCCAAUACUAACGCUCAUGCACGAAAGCGUGGGGAGCAAACAGGAUUAGAUACCCCUGUAGUCCCUGUCUCUUAUAC